rnacentral:tRNA from 1 species
GGGGAUAUAGUGUAGAGGUAACACGCAACACUGUCUAUGUUGUAUCAGGGGUUCAAAUCCCCUUAUCCUCG